rnacentral:rRNA from 1 species
UACGAAGGGAGCGAGCGUUGUUCGGAAUUACUGGGCGUAAAGCGCGUGUAGGCGGGCCGUUAAGUCGGGUGUGAAAGCCCAGAGCUCAACUCUGGGACUGCCUUCGAUACUGGCGGCCUGGAGCAUGAUAGAGGCGAGUGGAAUUGCGAGUGUAGAGGUGAAAUUCGUAGAUAUUCGCAGGAACACCAGUGGCGAAGGCGACUCGCUGGAUCAUUGCUGACGCUGAGACGCGAAAGCGUGGGGAGCAAACAGG